rnacentral:rRNA from 1 species
UCAGUUCAGAUUGCAGGCUGCAACUCGCCUGCAUGAAGUCGGAAUUGCUAGUAAUCGUAGGUCAGCAUACUACGGUGAAUACGUUCCCGGGUCUUGUACACACCGCCCGUCGCACCAUGGGAGCCGGAAAUGCCCGAAGCCAGUGACCCAACCUUAGGGAGGGAGCUGUCGAAGGUGGAGCCGGUAACUGGGGUGAAGUCGUAACAAGGUAUC